CGUAGGCGGCAAGCGUUGUCCGGAUUUAUUGGGUUUAAAGGGUGCGUAGGCGGCCCUGUAAGUCAGUGCUGAAAUAUCCCGGCUUAACCGGGAGGGUGGCAUUGAUACUGCAGGGCUUGAGUAAAGUUGAGGUAGGCGGAAUUGACGGUGUAGCGGUGAAAUGCUUAGAUAUCGUCAAGAACACCGAUAGUGUAGACAGCUUACUAAGCUUUAACUGACGCUGAGGCACGAAAGUGUGGGGAUCAAACAGGAUUAGAUACCCUGGUAGUCCACACUGUAAACGUUGAAGACUCGCUGUUGGCGAUACACAGUCAGCGGCUGAGAGAAAUCGUUAAGUCUUCCACCUGGGGAGUACGCCGGCAACGGUG
rnacentral:rRNA from 1 species